AGAAUCGCUUCUGGAAACGGAGAACAAAUCCCGAUGUACAGGAAGGAGGCAUCUUCUUUCUGUGAAACAUCCUUUAGAGGAUGGGGCGCGGAUGGACCUGCGGUGCAUUAGUUGGUUGGCGGGAUAAAGGCCCACCAAGACGAUGAUGCAUAGCCGGCCUGAGAGGGCGGACGGCCACAUUGGGACUGAGACACGGCCCAGACUCCUGCGGGAGGCAGCAGUAGGGAAUUUUCGUCAAUGGGCGCAAGCCUGAACGAGCGAUGCCGCGUGAGUGAAGAAGGCCUUCGGGUCGUAAAGCUCUGUUGCGGGGGAAAAAAGGCAGCAUCAGGAAAUGGGUGCUGACUGAUGGUGCCCCGCCAGAAAGUCACGGCUAACUACGUGCCAGCAGCCGCGGUAAUACGUAGGUGGCGAGCGUUAUCCGGAAUGAUUGGGCGUAAAGGGUGCGCAGGCGGUCCUGCAAGUCUGGAGUGAAACGCAUGAGCUCAACUCAUGCAUGGCUUUGGAAACUGGAGGACUGGAGAGCAGGAGAGGGCGGUGGAACUCCAUGUGUAGCGGUAAAAUGCGUAGAUAUAUGGAAGAACACCAGUGGCGAAGGCGGCCGCCUGGCCUGUUGCUGACGCUGAGGCACGAAAGCGUGGGGAGCAAAUAGGAUUAGAUACCCUAGUAGUCCACGCCGUAAACGAUGAAGACCAAGUGUUGGGG
rnacentral:rRNA from 1 species